GUUUGAUCCUGGCUCAGAUUGAACGCUGGCGGCAUGCUUUACACAUGCAAGUCGAACGGUAACAGGCCGCAAGGUGCUGACGAGUGGCGAACGGGUGAGUAAUGCAUCGGAACGUGCCCGGUCGUGGGGGAUAACACUUCGAAAGAAGUGCUAAUACCGCAUACGAUCUGAGGAUGAAAGCGGGGGACCGUAAGGCCUCGCGCGAUCGGAGCGGCCGAUGUCAGAUUAGGUAGUUGGUGGGGUAAAGGCUCACCAAGCCAACGAUCUGUAGCUGGUCUGAGAGGACGACCAGCCACACUGGGACUGAGACACGGCCCAGACUCCUACGGGAGGCAGCAGUGGGGAAUUUUGGACAAUGGGCGCAAGCCUGAUCCAGCAAUGCCGCGUGCAGGAAGAAGGCCUUCGGGUUGUAAACUGCUUUUGUACGGAACGAAACGGUCCGGGUUAAUACCCUGGGCUAAUGACGGUACCGUAAGAAUAAGCACCGGCUAACUACGUGCCAGCAGCCGCGGUAAUACGUAGGGUGCAAGCGUUAAUCGGAAUUACUGGGCGUAAAGCGUGCGCAGGCGGUUUUGUAAGACAGGCGUGAAAUCCCCGGGCUCAACCUGGGAAUUGCGCUUGUGACUGCAAGGCUGGAGUGCGGCAGAGGGAGAUGGAAUUCCGCGUGUAGCAGUGAAAUGCGUAGAUAUGCGGAGGAACACCGAUGGCGAA
rnacentral:rRNA from 1 species